ACCUCCUCCUCCCCGCGCGCGGCGCUGCCGUCCGGUUGGCGAGCUCCUCAGCUGAGAUGGGACCCCAACGCCGCCUGGCCGCACAUCUGCUGCAACCGCACCAACCGCGUCAACAACACCGACCUCCCCGCCACCAUGACCCGAUCAGUGUUCAGUAAGAAUGCAGAAGCAUCAUCCAAAGGGAAGAAGUUCGAUACACCUACCAGAGUCAGUCGCCAAAAAGAGGCUGCUACAGAUGCCAACUUGGAUGAUCAUGGUGCCGAAAGCAAGAGUUUGUACUCCAGAGAAGAUUCCAGAAAAAAGUUCGCCUGA
rnacentral:lncRNA from 1 species